UACGGGGGGGGCAAGCGUUGUUCGGAAUUACUGGGCGUAAAGGGCUCGUAGGUGGUCAACUAAGUCGGACGUGAAAUCCCUCGGCUUAACCGGGGAACUGCGUCCGAUACUGGAUGACUUGAGUUCGGGAGAGGGAUGCGGAAUUCCAGGUGUAGCGGUGAAAUGCGUAGAUAUCUGGAGGAACACCGGUGGCGAAGGCGGCAUCCUGGACCGACACUGACGCUGGAGGAGCAAAAGCCAGGGAGCAAACGGG
rnacentral:rRNA from 1 species